rnacentral:rRNA from 1 species
UAAUACAUGUGGGGCAAGCGUUGUUCGGAAUUACUGGGCAUAAAGGGUGCGUAGGUGGUUUGUUAAGUCACGGGUGAAAGUUUUCGGCCCAACCGGAAAAUUGCCUGUGAUACUGGCGAACUCGAGUGCGUGAGGGGUAACCGGAACGAGCAGUGUAGCGGUGAAAUGCGUAGAUAUUGCUCGGAAGGCCAGAGGCGAAGGCGGGUUACUGGUACGCAACUGACACUGAGGCACGAAAGCGUGGGGAGCAAACAGGAUUAGAUACCCUGGUAGUCCACGCCGUAAACGAUGAGCACUAGGUGGGUGCCGAGCUAUCGGUGCCUGCCGGAGACAAUUUGGUAAGUGCUCCGCCUGGGGAGUAUGGUCGCAAGGCUG